UACGUAGGGUGCAAGCGUUAAUCGGAAUUACUGGGCGUAAAGCGUGCGCAGGCGGUGAUGUAAGACAGAUGUGAAAUCCCCGGGCUCAACCUGGGAACUGCAUUUGUGACUGCAUCGCUGGAGUGCGGCAGAGGGGGAUGGAAUUCCGCGUGUAGCAGUGAAAUGCGUAGAUAUGCGGAGGAACACCGAUGGCGAAGGCAGUGUUCUGGGCCAGUACUGACGCUGAGGAGCGAAAGCGUGGGGAGCAAACAGG
rnacentral:rRNA from 1 species